GAUCAUGGUGCUCCAAAUUUAUCUGCAUCUUAGGAGGCAGAGGCAGCUCGGCUCACACCUCCAUCAAAAUCUCUCUUCUAGAAAUAUUCAAAGGAGUGAGAUCGCUGAACUGCCUUGGAGAUGAGCGAUUUUCACCAUUUUGCUUGGGUGAGCGAGCCCCGCUCUGCUCUUGAUUUCUAUAGUUGGGAUUAUUCAGGUAGUUUCUUCUGCCAG
rnacentral:lncRNA from 1 species